AUAAUUCUUUUAAACAAAGAUCAUUAAAAUUUACCAUCAAAAGUCUCAUGUCUUGAUUGGUUGGGCUGUAACUACUAAUAUUUAUGUAAAGACCAAAUUGUUACAAAUCAU
rnacentral:sRNA from 1 species